ACAGGCAACAAGAAGAACUGACAAGAUUAAUGCAAAGACUUAGGUUUUGUCAUCUUCCAAUUCCAAAUUCUGCGAUAUUAUUAGUUUUUACUGUUCUGGAACAACCAAAUUUCCUUAGGAGACUUCAAACAGAUCUGCAGUUUCAAGCACAGAGAGGUCAAUCAGAAGCAAUCCAGAUGAAGAUUAGAACUCCUCUGCUGCUCAGAAAAGAUACAAAGAACAGUGGUUGUUGGAAAAAGGAGUGAAGAAAAAUCCUGUUUUAAAAGAUGACCCUGCCUUGAGUGAGUGAGCAGUACUUUGGUUCAGGCAUCACAGACAAGAAGGCCUGACAGCUCAGCCCUGGUGUGCAAAAUAGAUUUUUGGACAAACAACAACACAACACAAAAACUCUUCUUACUUUC